rnacentral:rRNA from 1 species
UAAGUAAGUGGUGGAAAUUAAACCAAAUGGGAUAUCUUUAGUAAUUGCGAAUGAACAAGGAUAUGCUUAGCUUGACAAAUGGAGCUAUUGGCUUUGAAUUGUAUUUGUGGAAUGUAUUACCAACAGAGGUGCAGGUGCCAGCCUAUUAAAUAAAGCGUCAAUGAGGGUGAGAAUCCUGUUUGUCAUGUGCAGCCCUUUGUGCACGGUGUAUAUUUGCUGAGUCACACUCCUUGGCAUUGGAAUGCAAAGUGGGUGGUAAGUUUCAUGUAAAGGUAAACAUGCAAUUGAGACUGAUAGCACACAAGUACCAUGAGGGAAAUAUGAAAAGGACUUUGAAAAGAGAAUUAAAUGAGUUUGUAUUUGCUGAACACAAAGUAAACAGACUUGAUUUGCUUGGUGGGAGUGUUGCACUUGCUUGACAAGAGCUUUGGGCUGUGGGUGUAAUGAUUCUUUCUUUGCAUGCCAGUUUCUGUUUGUACAUCUGAUUACCUUUGCACAUGAAUGAUAAGUCUCCUGAGGGGGGUGGAUUGCAUGUGCAUGUAAUGAUUUGUGUUUUGAUAAAUGUGUCUGGUGUAUGUGUGUGUUCCUGUGCUUGGGGAUGCUUCCUUCCUUGGACUUACAAGCCCUGACACACACAUGCUGGCAAAAUGCUUCUGCUUGACCCG